AUCACGUUCACUGGGGGUUCAGUCUUAGCAGGACCCAGGGCUUCCCCUUCCACUGGUGCUCUUACUAGGAUAUUCAUUGCUACCUAUGAGGUCAGAGUCAAAGGGUCAUUCCACGUAUAGUCUUUAGGUAGUGGCUUAGUCCCUGGAAGCUCUGGUUGCUUGGCAUUGUUGUACAUAUGGGGUCUCGAGCCCCUUCAAGCUCUUCCAGUUCUUUCUCUGAUUCCUUCAACGGGGGUCCUAUUCUCAGUUCAGUGGUUUGCUGCUGGCAUUCGCCUCUGUAUUUGCUGUAUUCUGGCUGUGUCUCUCAGGAGAGAUCUACAUCCGGCUCCUGUCGGCCUGCACUUCUUUGCUUCAUCCAUCUUGUCUAAUUGGGUGGCUGUAUAUGUAUGGGCCACAUGUGGGGCAGGCUCAGAAUGGGUGUUCCUUCAGUCUCUGUUUUAAUCUUUGCCUCCCUAUUCUCUGCCAAGGGUAUUCUUGUUCCCCUUUUAAAGAAGGAGUGAAGCAUUCACAUUUUGAUCAUCCGUCUUGAGUUUCAUGUGUUUUGUGCAGGAGAUGGACACUUGAAUAAGCAUCUGGCAUCUUACAGCGUGAAAGAAAAGCCAUGGAGACUUACAGUAGAACUGUCUAAUACAUCUAAGGAAGGUUCAUAAAAAGAGGGAUGCGAAGAGUUGGUGACUUAUGUUAAUGUUAGCUACAGCAAGAGCAAAAAUAGCAAGAGUCAAAAUAGCAAUGGCUUGACAUGUAAAUUUGGUUCUUAAUUGUAUCAGAGUUGAGUGAAGAUAUUUCUGGUUAGUGGGAAUUGGCAUGACCGACCAAGUUAUGAGGAAGUAGAUGUUUUCCUCCAUGUGUGGGGAUACAGUCGAAUGGUGGCCCUACAUCUUCAAUAUGCUGUGUUUCCUGGGUCCUCUGUGAGUGUUGAACUCUGGUCAGUUGAUGGAAGAAGAGAGCAAUUUGGCACAAAUACAAUCAAGAUUUUAUUCAUGUUAGAGGGGAUCAGAUUUAUAUUUUAUUGAGUAGUUCCAGUCACGCAACCUCAUUUAGGGAUAGAGGGUUAGAAGUACAGUCCCUGUGCAGGAGAUCUUUUUCUAAAAUCAGCUCCAACGUAUAAAAGGGAGGUUUGGAUCUGUGGUGAGCAGCAAGCCAGCUUUACCACAGAGAACUUUCUGGAAGAGCUGGAUUAACAUAGGGUUGUGAAGAAUGAAUUUGUCAGCCAGAUACCGACAUACAUCCAAGCUACAGGCAAAAAUAUUUGUGAGAAUGUUUUUAAUGAGCCAUGUUUUGAAAGAUGUGAAGUCAUCUUUGCCAAUUGAACAGCUUUCGGAAGUUUCAUAUCUAAUAGCGUCCAACAGAGCCAUUCACAAUGAUACAUCUGUGUGGGACAAUUUCUAGGGGAAGAGUGAUGACCUCCAUGUUCUUGCAAAUCAAGCUGUCUGGGUGUGGGAUUGGAUCAUGAGUUAGUCUGGGGUUUAAAUCAGAUAGGUUUCAGGCCUGUCCUCCAUUCUGAGCUAGCAGAGCAUAGCCAUAGAGCAAGGACAGGCCAGCCAAGUUUCAGAGAAGAAUUUUCUUGUGAGUUAUUUGGACAGUACAUGGAAAAGUUGUGACCAGAGGGCCUAUUAAACAAAUGGCCUUCCUAAAUCUUGGCUUCCUCAUGGGUGAGUCCACACAACCUGUAAGUGCACAGUCCCAUCCCACCUAAAAUUAUUGCAUGGUCACUGGGAAAUAAGACAUCAGAAGUGAGAGGGAAUCUGAACAAGUAGAUGAUAUAGAUGGAGCCAGUUGCAAGUGACAGUUUUAUUCAAAUCGGUGAAUCCUUGACUUCUGUUUUCAUUCAAUAGCAUUUGGUGCAGUUACAUUGGGACACCCCUAGAGUUGGAAACUGGUGAAGGGCCGUCAGUGGCCAGGUGGCAAACUUUAGGAUGCAUUCCACAAGCUGCAACACAUCACAGAUGGCUCCUGGUCAGCCAAAUUGCCCAAUUAAAAAUGUGAGGACUGGGGGGUUGGGGAUUUAGCUCAGUGGUAGAGCGCUUGCCUAGCAAGUGCAAGGCCCUGGGUUCGGUCCCCAGCUCCCCCCCCCCCCAAAAAUGUGAGGACUACAGUUCUCUCAGUUCAGUGCACUGAAUUGCUUUUGACUUGCUCUGUCCUUUCCAGAGUUUAGGCACUCUAGUCAUCCAGCCCCUCACAGCUUUCCAGCAUCCUAAACAAUCUUCUUGCCUUUAGCCUUGCCUACUCAGUGUGUGCUUAGAGGAUCUCAUCCAAUGAUUUCUUGGUUCACCCUAUUAAGUCCUCCAAUAAAGAAGUAGCACACAGGGUUUGUAAUUUCAGCUCAGCUUUGUGGACAGCUCAGGCAGAGAUGGCGCAUGGUUCCACUUCUUAACAUGAUUUCCUUUGUCCCAGAAGAAUCAGUCACGCUGUGGGGAUGCCAAGUCAAAAACUAUUGAGUAGCUUAGAGACUCUGAGGAUGUGGCAUCAUAUUUCAGCCUCACCUAACCUUGUCUCUCCCUGGAUUGUCUGGGCAGCUCUGAGACAGACUGUAUCCCUCAUUCCUGAUCUGACAGUGAAGCUAAGGUCCUCCUGUUAGUGACAUACAGAAAAGGCUGCAAACAGAAGUGAGGAGCUAGUAGCAGAAGGCCAAAAAUUUAUGGCCACGUUCAAGCAGUUUGUCCAAUGAUAACAUAUGGAACAAAUAUAAUCUUUGCUGAAAAGUAAUUUUAACCAUUUGCAUAUAUUCUCCCCAAGGGGGGGGGGAAAUCCUGGGUACCCAGGCUUAAAGAGUGUGUUGCCCCCUAGAAUUGCUCUAAUUACCUGUGAGCUAAUUAGAGACUAUUAUGUAUUCAGAAGUGAGAAUUUUAUUCUUCAAAAUUUGCAUUUGCAGCAAGAAUCUCAUUUUCUAUGCACCAUAAGGUGAGCGCUCCCUGCUGACUUCCUCUCCCUGUGUAUAAGCAGGGCUUACUCUGGGACCAUGAUAAUCAGAAGUCCAUUAGGCAGAGCCCAGGGAAGCCAGGAAGAGGGAACAGACUUCUGGGUAGACACAAGGGUCUAGAAACUAGUAGCAGAAUCAAAUCUUUGGAGUAAUACAAUUUGGAUAGCUCCUUGCUGAAGCCACUUUUGAGUUUGCUCAGACAUACUCAGAAUUUCCAGAAGAAAGGGCACUCCCACAAGUAAGAAACAGCCCUUGCCUGUCCCUGAAAUGAAUCAGGAAAUUUGGGUUGCUCCGAUAGGGCCUGGCAAGGUAUAUAUAGGAGUGCUAGUCUAGCAUUCAUAAAAUACACAGUCGGAGAUUUGCCCCAUUUUCUUUGGAUCCCUAGCUCUGUUUUUUUUUUCUUUUGUUGUUGUUGGGGUUUUGUUUGGUUUUGUUUUGUUUGUUUUUGUUUUUGUUUUUGGUGCCAAUGGGCUAAAGUCUCCAUGUCACCACACCUCAGAGUUCUGGCUGAGGGACAAGUGUGGAAGAAGGAAAGGAUGACCUCCUUCUACUGUCCAACUCUGAGUAGAGAGAAUAUCACAGGGAGCAUGGGCUUCACUGAUCAGGAUGCUCAGAGUGCCAAGGGCUGUUGCCAAGACCAAGGGAAUUUUAAGUUGUGAAUCAGAACAGGGUCAAUAUUACAACUCCUCUGAGGUUAGCACACUUGUAAAGAAAUCAGAAUUGAGUGCUAAGUGGUUUGGAUUCAUAGUUUUACUCAUUAACUCUUCCACUUUACUGUUUCUAUAUAUUUGUGGUUUCUAAAGGAACAGCUUAGCUUAGAAUGGGAAAGCAGCCAUGUGGCAUAGAGUCCCAUUGCCCUGUUCUCUGACCCUGUUGCUGAUUCAUUAUAGAUUUAUUUUACUGUGAACCAAAACUUUUUUCCCCAGUUAUCAAAAGUCCCUGCCAGUGUAUUUGGCCAGUGCCAAAAUCUCAUAUAAAAGUCCUGAUGGACAAAUGAUUGUUUCUAAAUAGACCAGCAGCAGACUAAAAGUCUAGUUUACUCUAAAGAUUUGUUUUGCUAAACUCCCCUCACUUUCCUUCCCAAAUAAUCCCAUUGAAAUCUCAUUCUGUUGUGAGAAAUACUCUGACAAAAAGUGACUCAGUUGGAAGGAAUGAAAAAAUGCCCAGUGAUUGAGUUUUCCUCCUUGAUCCAACUUUGCUUUUUUUUUGAAGCAUUUUGUUGUAUUGAUUGCAUUUUCCAACUUUUCACUGAUUCUUUGUGAGUUUCACACCAUGCACCCCAGUCCAUCCCCUCUCAUCCAUCCUCCACCCUCCAAAUCUUCCCCCAAAAGAAAACAAAACGAACAAAACAAAACAAAAACAAACAAACCAAAACAAAGCAUAAAAAACAUCUCAUGGUGUAAGCCAGUGUGUCUGUCACAAACAGUGUGCCCCACAGUACACCUUUAAAAUGCACGUUUUCAUUCCUUUGAGCUAAGCCAAAACUUCCUAUUAUUGGUCUUGUGUUCUUUCACUGACAGCACCUAAGUGAUUUCAGAUCACCUAUGCAUUUCAAAUUAGUCCUGUUCAAGCCCCGAGAGAGAGAGAGAGACCCAAGUAUAAGAAAAGCUGAUGCCAUACAAUUCCAUGCUCUUUGUAUGAUACAGUGGCAAAGCUGAUUUCUUUCCCUGAAGCUUCCCCGGGGAAAGAUGAAUGCACUGGAGACGGUGUAGCAAGCGGGGAUUCACGCACUCUCAACCAUUUAAAGCAUCCCUGAAGUAGGAAAGGAAUGGGAAUGGGAAAGGAAGCCAGGGUGAGUGGAAAACUUAGUUCAGCAGGAAUGAGAAUGAUAGAGACAGCAGCAAGGAUAGAGACAGCACACAGUUUGGGUGCCAAUGCACACCAGCCAAAGUCCACUAACAGCCGAAGGAAUGGAGUUCCUUACAGGAUAUAGCAUGGAGAACACAUAAGGGAAUCUCAAUAACAGGGGGCCUGAGAGAAGAGGAAACUGCAGUGUUGUCACUAGAUCUUACCUCGGAGGAGGAAAGAAUGGAUGAAAUAGAAAAUGUAGCUGGCUAAAAUGAAAUAAAGUAAAAUAUAGUAAUCACUCACACUAGCUAAGAUUCAGUCCCACCCUUUAGUGUCAGCUGGAUUCCUGUGUCCUUCUCAGGAGACGAAUAAUAGAUAUGAUCCAGCCUUAGGAUGUAGCAGAAGAUGGAAUUCAGACUGGCCUGAAAAAAAAAUCUUGUGACUAGAAACUAUUAUUAGGUUGACUUAACCCAGUGGCACACUUCCUGCUUUUUUGGUUCAAUUGCCAACUUUUUGGACCUCACAUAUGAAAUGGCAACAGACAAAGAAAGAACAACCCAGCAUCUAUCCUAGAGGUUCACUGAUUCCAGUUGGGUCAAUCCUGAGUUGACUCGGCAUUGCUGAUAUAUUACUGAUGAGACUUCUUCUGUGACUUCUUCAGGUACCUAGGCAGCUAAUGCAGAAGGGACCUGAGGAGACACAAGGCUUGCUCCAUGCUAGCGACUGUGGCAAGACCUGAGGCGUGAGCCCUGUAACAGACCAGCAUGUCCAACAAAACUCUACAAAUUGAACACAUGAGACGACUCUCAAGAGACAAUUUGAGUCAUCCUUAGUUCACAGGCCAUAUUCUUAAGAGUACUACACAGAUAAAGGAUGCACAGAUAAAAAUGUUUGCUCUCUUUAAGGAUGCCGCUCUUCUAUUCAUGCCAAAAAAUUCUCACAGAGGCUUCCCUCCUCCACACUGUGGCUCUGCACCAGUGCUCCGGUCUCAUUUUCGAGAUACAGAAAUUUAUAAUUGGUUUUACAAUUGUCACGGAGGUACCUUAAUGACUUUUUACACAUUAUUUGUUAUAAGGACAACAUUACUGGGAACCAGACUGAAGAGGAAAUUAACCCAUGCUCUGACCACCACCACCUCCGUCACAAGUCAAGCUGUUUAUAUUUAGCCUUGCUUGGUUCAAGAUCUCACCCAGGUGCAUCCAAAAUUUAAUUGUAAGACAUUCAGUGUUUUGACUAUUCUGUGUCUAUUGUGUAAUUACUAUAAUUAUACUUUCAGCGAUGUUGGGGUCUACAACAGAUUCAUGAAUGUAAAAACUGACUGGCCAAUAAAACUCCUUCCUCACUCUGUUUCACACCUAGGUAUAGAAUUAGUCUGGGGUUAAUUUUUCCUUUCUGUUUCUUUUCUUUUUAGAGAGAGAGGUAGUGCUCCCAGGCGAAGAGCGACUUGACGUCUGAGUGUCUUCAGGGUAGCAUCUUCCAUUUCUGUGUCAGUUUAAAAAAACUAACCCUGCUAUUUUAAUUGCAAAUGUAUGUUUUGAUUCUAUUGUUUAGGAGUUAUAGCCCACGUGUGUCCCAAAAGAAUGACAUGGACUAGAAUAGAGAAAAUGUGAAGCCUAAUUAGAAAUCUGUUUUAAAAUAGAACUGAGUCCGGGUCCUGGAUAAAGCAGUGAAUAUGAGAUAAUUGUGUGAGUAGCUAAUGUCCUGUUAGACAUUGUAACCCUUCUCAUGCAAGGCAUCACUAAUCAAGCAUCAUGCUCUACCACAAAAGCAUAGGAUACAGUUUAACAUCUUUCUCAGCACAUUAGCUAGGAAGAGCAUUGCUACAGGGAAACAGGACUGGCUCCCAAAGGCUUGUGUGUUAAAGGCUUGGUCUUCAUCCUGGUGCUGUUGGGAUGCCGUAGAACUUUUAAAGGAAAACCAAUAACAGUCUUUAAGUCACUGUGGGCGGGGCAUGCCUGGAAGGGAAUUGUGGGACGCCAGUCCUUUCUCCCUUUUCUUUGUUUCCUGCCACUAGUGAAUGCGAUACUUUGUUUGAUCAUGUACUCUUCACUGUAACACACUGUCUUACCACAAGCCCAAAGCCAAUGAGAGCAACCAACCAUAGAUGGAAAGUCUAGAAACUGUAAGCCAAAUUAAACUCUUUCUCCCUAGAAGCUGAUUAUCUCGUGUUUGUUAUGCAAAGAAAAUUGAUUAACAGAGACACAGGCUCACAUUCUCUGGUGUUGUGGAAAGUGAAUGAAGAGCCCUUCCAUAAGUUCUCCAGUCUUCCUCACAGCACCCUUCUCUGCCUUACAGCAGUGAGCUCCAGCCACAUCGUGUCCUGUGCUCACCACCACCUCCACUAACUCCUAGGAGGUGGAAGUCCUCAAGAUCAACAAGAUAUAUGUUCGACUACUGAGUUACAUCUCCAGCUCUUACUGUGAUAUCUUGAUAUAUGGGUACAUUGUGGACUUGGUGAACCAAAUUAAUUAAUGAGUGCAUAAUGUCUUGUGGUCAUCAUGUUUAUGGUGAGAUGGAUAAGGGUAUUUCAUAGUCUAGAUUAUAAGAACACAUUUGUACUAUAUGUUGUAGGUAGGAGUCUACACUAAUAUUUGUUCUGUUAACUUUCAAGCUGGAUCUCAUCCAAAGGAUAGGCUCAGGAAGAAUGUAAGAAUCCAAGGCCUUGGUAAGUUUUGAGCCUUGCUCCCCUUCUUCACAGAGAGGGGAGAUAACAAGGAGAAAAGAAGCAGUACCAUAAAUCUCAGAGAUAAGAUUGACUACCUGACUAGAGAGUUAAGACUCAACUUUGAAUUUAUUGACUGUUUGUGUUCUCUUCCCAGCCCAGUCUAGUGGUUAAAGAUGAGAUGGAGGAGAGAUCUUUAGGAUACUAAUCCUGUCUUCUCAGAUGGCUAGCUUUCUAAAUAAAACACAACUUCGAGAUUCUAUGUGCAGUUUGUGGCUUGUAAUACAGACUGCAUUAGUCUUUUAUAAGAUCACUUAAAUCCACUUUUUGGGGUGAUUUUCAACAUUGCAGCACUUUGGUAUGAACUGGAGUCAACAUGUUAUAUAAUAGAACUUUAACAUCCAUUCCUUCUAGUUUAACUGAAAUUUUGUAUCUUGUGAUCACCUCCCUCUGGAGCCCCAACACCAACAUCCAGUCACUGGUAACUACCAUUCUAUUCUCUGUUUCUACAAAUUCAACUUUCUUAGCUUGCUCAUGUAGGUGUAACCUCAUAGUAUCUGUCUUUUUUUGUGUGUGGCUUACUGCUCUUUAGGUUCAUCUAUAUUGUAAAUAACAGGAUUUUCUUCUAUUAAAAAGCUAAAUAGUACUCCAUUAUGUAUAUAUCUCUUUAAGUUUUUUCAUCUGUUGAUAACUUUAUUUGACUAUGUUUUGCCUAUUGUGAAUAAUGUUUCAAUUAACAUAUAGUGCAGGUAUCUUUCACUAUAUGAUUUUCAAAUUACUUGGAAAUAUAGUCAGGAGAGGGGCCUCCAGAUCAUAUGGCAUUUCCAUUUUAAUAUUUACUGGAACCCUCAUAUCACUCUCCAUAGUGGCCGUGAGAAUUUACAUUUCCACAGUUUUUUUUCACACUCAUGUCAUUCUUUUAUUUAUUUAUGUUUUUAUUUAUUUAUUUUUUUGAAGCAGUGUCUCAUGAAGACAAGCGAGACCCUUAUUCUUUAUAUAACUGAGACUUCUCUUCAUCCUCCUGCCUCGACCUCCUAAGUGCUUAUAUCACUACAGGCUUAUACCACCAUGUUUGGAAUUCACAACUGUUUUCUUUCUGUAAAGGUUUAUUUUAUCCUUGUGUUUAUGGUGUUUAUGUGUAUAUCUUUCUCGCUCCAUCCUAUAAUGUGUGGCUGUGCUUUGGUGGUAGUCAUAAAAGUAUUGAAUUCCCUGGAGCUGCAGUUAGAGGUGGUUGUCAGUUGCCUGAUAUUCGAGCUCUGGUAACUAAGCUUAGGUCUUCUGGAAGAGAAGCAUGUGCUCUUAGUGGUUGAGUCAUUUCUCUAGGCCCCUUACUUUUUAAUCAAAGAGAAAUUGGCUGGUGGUGGUGCAGGCCUUAAAUCCUUUAUACUCAGUAGACGGUCAAGGCCAGUAUGGGCAAUUUAGUGAGAAUCUGUUGAAGUAGAAAUGUAAGGGUUUUUUGAAAAGUCAGUUGAAUGGUAUUUUGCUGGGGCAGACUCGUGAAGGAACAUUUAGCUGAAGCAGACACAAGUGAAAGGAUGUUCUGCUAAAGCAAGCACAUGAAAGGACACAUGAUGAAGUAUUCUUCGCUAAUGAUAUUCAUGUAUUAGUCUGCCUUAUGACGGUUAGUUGAGCUGCAUUUGUCGGGAUGCCAUAGAGAGAAAUGCACCAAAGAACUUCUGGUGGUGUGCUGCAGUUUCUUGUGCUUCUGCAGGCUCAGGCUGAUGGGCAGAGUGAUGUCAGCUGAGACAGAGCCACGUGUGCUCAGGAGGACAUGUAAUGUUUGAAGGGUAUAAAUAAGACUCUGCUGACAAAGACAGAAAGCUGAACUGGGCUUGCUUAUAGAGCUAGCUAUGUAGCUGUGCAUUGCUUGUGGGUCUCAUGUCUUCAUUUAUCUUUGCUUCCCUGACAGAGGAAUGGUGGAGAACUUCUUGUGUUCCUUCUGGUUCCUCAUGCUGACUUAAGCUGAGGCUGAGGCCUGGCUGUCUUUGCUAGGUAGGGGCACUGCUGCUGAUUCGUGUUUGCUAUCUUGACUCUACCGAAUUGGACUGUUGAUUUAUCAGAGAAGUGUUUGUGAGUGGAUCUAGCUGCCACUGCUAACCUGUGAACUGAACUGCUGAUUUCCGGAGAGCACCGAUUGGAGUUACUCCAAAGAACCUUUCUAAAUGGGUCUGUUCCCACCCCACUCCUAUUCCCUGUGUCCUUUCCCACUACUUCUGGCAGGUGAUGGGCUACAAGGGAGGUUAAAUGAUUUAAGAACUAUCAUUAAAAAUAAGCAUUUGGAAAAAUUAUAGUUACAGUCUGUCUCCAGGAAAAAGUAAAUAAAAGAGUUGUUGGGAAUACAGCUCAGUCAUACAGUCAUUGCCUACUACGGACAAAGCCCUUGAUUCAGUCUUCAGUACCACAAUACAUUCUGAAAAAUUGCCCUUGAUGUUCACUAAUUUUUUUAAAUUUUCAAUUGUGCUUGAGUACCUCACAUGGAGGUUGACCUUACUGAACCUUGUGUAUAAGGUGGGACCAAUAUUUAGUGCUAGAUUCUUAUAUGUAUGACCUCAUUCUAUUCUCGUAUCCAUCUAACGACAUUGGCAUCGAUGCUUCCAUUUCAUUCUGAGAUAAGAAAACUGAAGUUCAAAAAGGAUCAUACUCAGGGCUAUUUGACUAUAAUUUUAUGUUUUUUUCAUACUGUUUCUCCUUUCAAUGCUUUAUGCAGAGAAGUUAAACAGAGAAAUUGUAAGUUUCUGGAGACUUUGAAGAGAUAAUGGAAAGAGAAAUUAGUAAUUACUUCACUCUUUCUGCAGGAACUCUUUAGUCUACUCUGUGGUAGGAGAAAGCAUCAAAAGUUGUCAUGGUGAAUUUUUAAUAAUCCAUAAUAUUAGAUUAGUAUCUAAUGGUAUGGAAAAGUACAUGGUAUAGAAAGGAAAGCCAUCUAGAUGCUGUUUAUUCAAACAUGAGUCUCAGCUAAGUUGAGUGGAAUUGGGAAAAUAUGAUGUUGUUUGUCAAUAUGUCAAAGAAAACUGCUGGGUAAUGUACAGAAAUGCCCAGCGUUGUGACUGAGAAAGCAAAGGGGUUAGGGCCUUAAGAGUUUAUUCUUUGUUUCUGUUUGUUUGUUUUUUGUUUCUUUUCUUUUCUUUUCUUUUUUGAUUUAUACACUCCUAAGUUUCCUGCCCAGGAGUCCUGAGUCCAUGAACGUGUGACUGAGUGACAGUGAUAGACUGAGCAAUUGUCAUAGCUGGAGUUAGAUGAGAAAUGUUCAUCUGUGAAAUGGUAGGAGGUAAUGCAUUUCCAAGUGCCUAUAAAUAUUCUUAAAUAUAAAUUAUUUUAUUAAUGGCAUCUGUUGUAAUUUUAAAUAGAAUUAUUUUUGGUAAGUGUUGAUAGUGAUCUCUUUUAAAAAGAGACUAUUAAUUAUCUGUUCCUCUUAAUUUUGACAAACACUCUUGUUAAGAUAUUAUGGUUGUAAUUUAAGCACACCCUCUUAAAAUUUAUUUAUUUAUUUAGUAUGUAUAGAUAUACAUGUAUGUGAGUGCAUAUGCACAUAUAUGAGCCAGUGUGCAUCUGUUCAUCCAUCUCUCUGUCUCUCUGUCUCUGUCUCUGUCUCUGUCUCUCUCUCUCUCUCUCUGUGUGUGUGUGUGUGUGUGUGUGUGUGUGUAUUUGAGCAUUUAGAAGUGGGGGUGGUAGGAGAUAAUAGUGUGGCAAGUAUCAUAAGCCAUGUAGUGCAUGAAACUCUGAAGUUUAUUGUAAGAGUAACGAGGAAUCAUUGAUGGGCGAAAAGAAGUAGAAGAACCAAAUUAAUCACCUUGACUACAGAAUCAGACUGCACAGAACAGAAGAAAGAGGGAGUCAGGAAACUAACUGGAAAGUAACUCCAAUUACAGCUGUGAUGUGAUGAAACAACUGGUGGCUGUGAAGCUGAAGAGAAGUGAAAGGCCUCAGGAGAUAUUCAGGGAUAAAACAGAGAAUACUUGGAAUAAGGCAAAGCAGGGAAGAACAACUUGGUACCUGAUUAUUUUCACAGAUGAUGGAGUUAGGGAUGAAGAUGAGAAGAGAUUAUCUGGUUAUUUAAGGAACCUAACUUCCUUGAAGUUCUUAGUUUCACCUUUUGAACAUUACUUAUUUCUCUGCAGGUCUACUUUGAGAGUACUCACUCAGUAUAAGGAGCAGUGUGCUUCAUGCAAAUGAAACAGCCUAGCACUGUGGACCAGGUUGCCUUAUAAGGUUAUCAGUUUAGAGUGGCAUCCUCCCACACACUUUCCCACCUGAGUUCCAUUUCCCUGUCUGCAUGCUCUGAGAGGUUCUGAUAGUGACAGUGUUCCUAGAUACAAGGAAAAUCUUUUCUACCAUUGAAUAAAGCUAUAAAUGUACAUGUAUAAAAUUAAAAAUAUCAUGUGGAAAGGGCACAAAAGAGUCAGUAAAUGGUUCUAGAAACAAUGAAAAGUGUUGAAAAUGCCUAGAGAUGUCGCUAAGUUCUUGCCUGGUAUACAUGAGGCUCUGGAUUCCCUAGCACAAAAUAAACAAACACAAAUACCCGAGAGGAUGUAUGCUGUCUUGAAAUACAAGGUAAGCAUACAUUUUGAGAAGGAAGACAGAGUCAUAAGUGUAAGUCAACCAAGAUAUCAAACGAAUAGGCACCAAAGAGUGGGUGUGGCAAUAAGCCGGAGUAGCUUCUUGAUCAUGCUGAAGUAAAUUUAGAGAUGAGGAAAAGAGCCCCAUGACAAUAGAAUAUCCAUGGAGAGAGAAUGUGAAUACAGCUAGCAAUCACUUCCAAUUUGGUUAUGAAGGGAAGAGGAAAAGCCAUGGACUUGUGCUAUCAACAGAGAUCUUUGUUGUGGUGUUUGGUUGAAUAGUGUGUACUUCAUACCUGAUUAAAAGGAAUCCAAUAGAAAAGGUGAAAGUCUAAGGAGAUAGAGAGGGACAGGAUUAUUGAUCAAGAGAGGUCAUAGUGAAGGUAGAAUGUACAGGUAUCCAUUUGGAUACAGGGCCUGUGGAAGGAAGAAGAGAUAUGGCCACCAGGGAGUUUGGGAGCAGGAAGGUUAUGGAAGAUAAGAUCCACUUUCUCUUAUGAAAGGGGUGAGAUCAGAUUAGUUUUCAAAGAAGAUGACAGAGCAGAAUGGAGAAAAGUCCAUAAAAAAAACCACCAAGUGAGUUCUGUUUAUUAUUUUUCUCCAAUAAUCUUUACAUUUAUUUUUAGAAAUCUGUCCUUGAAACCCAAGGUCCACUGAGAACAUUGUACAGCGUUCCAGGAAAGUAAAUCUUCUUGAGUAGUAGAAGUGGUUGCAUCACAUAAUGACUUGGGGCUUAAGAAUAGACCAGCCUUGCGAACGCUUUUGUCCUUUAGCAAACCAGGAAUCAAACCUUCUGCAUGGAAGGGAGUACAGGAGCCAAACAUUUACAGCAGGUAAAUGGUAGACUUCUACCACUCCCUUUCAGAAACAAGGACGCAGAGACUCUAAAGGGAGGGAGUUUGUUUCCAUUUAUUGCUAAGGGGCAGAGUCAGUAACUACACCACAAGCAGAAUGUUCCCAUUAGAAAGAUUCACUGAGUGCAUUUGUUAUGAAAAAGGGGGAAAAAAUCCCUUCUUUCUAUCCCUAUUUUUCUCAUCAUAUAAACUGGAUUUUUCUUUAUGUUUAAUGAGCCAUUUUGUAUUUAUAAUUCUCAAGUUGAUUAAGCAUCGGUAGAUUUUAAAGUGUUGACGUAAGAGAUUUUUAAUUCUUAAAGAUUUCCUUGGGAAAUAUUUUCUCAAGCAAGAAAAGAUAGUCUGUUCAAGAAUGACACUGGGACAAAGAGCUGUCCAUAUGGAAGAUAAUCAAAUUAGAUGACUAAACAAUGCUAUACAUCAAAAUAAAUUCCAUGAGGGCUUAAAUGCUAAAUGAAUAAAAUAGAAUCAUAAAA